GAUGAACGCUGGCGGCGUGCCUAAUACAUGCAAGUCGAGCGAACAGACGAGGAGCUUGCUCCUCUGACGUUAGCGGCGGACGGGUAAGUAACACGUGGAUAACCUACCUAUAAGACUGGGAUAACUUCGGGAAACCGGAGCUAAUACCGGAUAAUAUAUUGAACCGCAUGGUUCAAUAGUGAAAGACGGUUUUGCUGUCACUUAUAGAUGGAUCCGCGCCGCAUUAGCUAGUUGGUAAGGUAACGGCUCACCAAGGCAACGAUGCGUAGCCGACCUGAGAGGGUGAUCGGCCACACUGGAACUGAGACACGGUCCAGACUCCUACGGGAGGCAGCAGUAGGGAAUCUUCCGCAAUGGGCGAAAGCCUGACGGAGCAACGCCGCGUGAGUGAUGAAGGUCUUCGGAUCGUAAAACUCUGUUAUUAGGGAAGAACAAAUGUGUAAGUAACUAUGCACGUCUUGACGGUACCUAAUCAGAAAGCCACGGCUAACUACGUG
rnacentral:rRNA from 1 species